AUGACGUAGGCCCUCGUCGGGGCGCGCGAGCGCCCAACUGCAGGCAUAAAUAAAGUUGCCUCCCAUCCAAUCCAAUGUCGUUCGGCGAUCACUUCUCGUAUCUCCCUGUUCCACCAGCCUUUCGUUUCUUUUUUUUUCCUUUCCAACGAACAUGUUAUUUCUUUUUGCGUAUUUCUGCCGUUAUUACACUUAGAAGCUCACUAUAUUCCCACUCUUUAUUUGGCCAUUUGCCAAGUUCUUCCUCUACUGUUGUGAUAAUAUUUGUUAUUUGUUCAGCGUUCAAACUUGGACUGACCAUUUUGCACGCCUUGCUCUCUUUCCCGAGUACAUAUCCCAUUUUUAAGAUGAUGCGUUCACGGUCACUCGCUAUGCUGCAAUACCCUUCCUCGUAAAUGACCAUUUCUCUCAACUCAUAAUGAAUUCCUUCUGUCAUCAGGCAGUAAUCAAUGGUCGAUUGCCGGCUUCCCACUUCCCACGUGAUCUACUCUUCACACUUAGGCCUGUAUUCGCGAUAACGAGGUUAUGUUGCUCACUGACAUCUAGCAUUGACUUCCCGUUGUUGUCCGUAUCGCCAUCUAGAUCCUUUAUGUGGGCAUUGAUGUCACCUAAAAGAAUAAUUUCGGCAUCAUUCCCGAAACCCUUAAGAUCAGCAUUUAUGCAUUCCACUAACUCUUGGUUCUUCUCUGUGCAAUUAUUUCCGGUGCAGAAAUGCGUUACGCGCAGCCAAAUUUUUUUCCCCACUCAUUGUACCUGAUAGCUGUGGUAUCAGUUAUCAGUUCAGCAUAUGCCUAUUACGCAGAACCGUCAAUGCUAUAAAAGCAGAGGCGCUCUCGAAUAUAACACAUUCGUUCCUGUCCUGGUUUCCUGCGUCGUCGUCUUUCCUUGGCCACGACAGAACAACUGGCAACGAGGACGGAUGACGCUACGAUCAUAGAGAAAGAAAUUCAACAAGAGGGGACACUCUUCAAAAACUGGCAACAGGAAACACGUCACGCCUAGUUCCAACACCAUCCGUUAGUUGACGCGAGCAUCAGAAAAGAAGAAUGUGAAAUAAACUUCCAGACAACGUUUUAUUUAUUUUAUUCCUUCCCACUAAAAGUGAAAAAGUUUUGCGUGUAAAUGAACUUAUACUUUGCAACUUUUUGUUGCGUUGCCUAGCAACAAGCUAGCGGCACGCCAGACGCGCGAGCAUACGUCAUGCGCCAGACAAGCCGCAGGAGUGAGCGAGGCCGGCUGCGCAUGUGAAGCUCGCGAGCUCGGCGACCCGUCUCUUUUGGAUGUAGCCCGUUUUUGCGGCUCCCGGCGUUCCGUUGUGUUCCAUCUGCAUUUCGACACGGCACCGCUGCACUACUGGACUACAGCAAGCUGAUGGCAUCCGGUGGAGCAUCGUACGGCAACGACUGCUGCUUACCUGGUGCCACAACUUUGGAUGAAUGCAGAAGAAGCCCGGAACGAGCAUUUAUAUAGAGCAAAAUAAACAUUUCAUCAUUUCAGAA